UGGGGAAUCUUGCGCAAUGGGCGAAAGCCUGACGCAGCGACGCCGCGUGAGGGAGGAAGGCCUUCGGGUUGUAAACCUCUUUCAGGAGGGACGAAGCUACUCGGGUGAAUAGCCCAGAGGGUGACGGUACCUCCAGAAGAAGCCCCGGCUAACUACGUGCCAGCAGCCGCGGUAAUACGUAGGGGGCAAGCGUUGUCCGGAUUUACUGGGCGUAAAGAGCGUGUAGGCGGCCAAACAGGUCCGUUGUGAAAACUGGAGGCUAACCUCCAGACGUCGACGGAAACCGUAUGGCUAGAGUCCGGAAGAGGAGAGUGGAAUUCCCUGGUGUAGCGGUGAAAUGCGCAGAUAUCAGGAAGAACACCAAUGGCGAAGGCAGCUCUUCUUGGGACGGUACUGACGCUGAGACGCGAAAGCGUGGGGGAGCGAACA
rnacentral:rRNA from 1 species